rnacentral:rRNA from 1 species
UGGCGGGACGGGGUGGAGUAACGCGUGGGUAACCGUGCCUCAUACAGGGGGAUAACAGUUGGAAACGACUGCUAAUACCGCAUAAGCGCACAGUACCGCAUGGUACCGUGUGAAAAACUCCGGUGGUAUGAGAUGGACCCGCGUCUGAUUAGCUAGUUGGUGGGGUAACGGCCUACCAAGGCGACGAUCAGUAGCCGACCUGAGAGGGUGACCGGCCACAUUGGGACUGAGACACGGCCCAA